AGACUUUGAUUCUGGCUCAGGAUGAACGCUAGCUACAGGCUUAACACAUGCAAGUCGAGGGGCAGCAUGAUUGAAGCUCGCUUCAAUUGAUGGCGACCGGCGCACGGGUGAGUAACACGUAUCCAACCUGCCGAUAACUCGGGGAUAGCCUUUCGAAAGAAAGAUUAAUACCCGAUAGUAUAGUAUUUCCGCAUGGUUUCACUAUUAAAGAAUUUCGGUUAUCGAUGGGGAUGCGUUCCAUUAGAUAGUUGGCGGGGUAACGGCCCACCAAGUCAACGAUGGAUAGGGGUUCUGAGAGGAAGGUCCCCCACAUUGGAACUGAGACACGGUCCAAACUCCUACGGGAGGCAGCAGUGAGGAAUAUUGGUCAAUGGACGAGAGUCUGAACCAGCCAAGUAGCGUGAAGGAUGACUGCCCUAUGGGUUGUAAACUUCUUUUAUACGGGAAUAAAGUGGAGUAUGCAUACUCCUUUGUAUGUACCGUAUGAAUAAGGAUCGGCUAACUCCGUGCCAGCAGCCGCGGUAAUACGGAGGAUCCGAGCGUUAUCCGGAUUUAUUGGGUUUAAAGGGAGCGUAGGCGGGUGCUUAAGUCAGUUGUGAAAGUUUGCGGCUCAACCGUAAAAUUGCAGUUGAUACUGGGCGCCUUGAGUGCAGCAUAGGUAGGCGGAAUUCGUGGUGUAGCGGUGAAAUGCUUAGAUAUCACGAAGAACUCCGAUUGCGAAGGCAGCUUACUGGACUGUAACUGACGCUGAUGCUCGAAAGUGUGGGUAUCAAACAGGAUUAGAUACCCUGGUAGUCCACACAGUAAACGAUGAAUACUCGCUGUUGGCGAUACACAGUCAGCGGCCAAGCGAAAGCAUUAAGUAUUCCACCUGGGGAGUACGCCGGCAACGGUGCAACUCAAAGGAAUUGA
rnacentral:rRNA from 1 species